UACGAAGGGGGCUAGCGUUGUUCGGAAUCACUGGGCGUAAAGCGCACGUAGGCGGAUUGUUAAGUCGGGGGUGAAAUCCUGAGGCUCAACCUCAGAACUGCCUUCGAUACUGGCAAUCUCGAGUCCGGAAGAGGUUGGUGGAACAGCUAGUGUAGAGGUGAAAUUCGUAGAUAUUAGCUAGAACACCAGUGGCGAAGGCGGCCAACUGGUCCGGCACUGACGCUGAGGUGCGAAAAGCGUGGGGGAGCAAACAGG
rnacentral:rRNA from 1 species